rnacentral:rRNA from 1 species
AUUGAACGCUGGCGGCAGGCCUAACACAUGCAAGUCGAACGAGUGGCGGACGGGUGAGUAAUGUCUGGGAAACUGUCUGAUGGAGGGGGAUAACCACUGGAAACUGUAGCUAAUACCGUAUACCAUCAGAUGUGCCCAGAUGGGAUUGGCGUGUUGGUGGGGUAACGGCUCACCAAGGCGACGAUCCCUAGCUGGUCUGAGAGGAUGACCAGCAACACUGGAACUGAGACACGGUCCAGACUCCUACGGGAGGCAGCAGUGGGGAAUAUUGCACAAUGGGCGAAAGCCUGAUGCAGCCAUGCCGCGUGUAUGAAGAAGGCCUUCGGGUUGUAAAGUACUUUCAGCGGGGAGGCGUUACCCGCAGAAGAAGCACCGGCUAACUCCGUGCCAGCCGCCGCGGUAAUAC